rnacentral:rRNA from 1 species
GCCAUGCAUGCCUAAGUACAUGCCUAUGUUAAAGUGAAACCGCAAAGCGCUCAGUAAACCAGUUAUUAUUUACUAGAGGAAGCGCCGCCGCACGGCGGCGCGGAUAACUGUGGUAAUUCUAGAGCUAAUACGAGCAAAUUAAUCCCUCCCUUAAUUGGGGGGGAUGCUUUUAUUGGACCAAAACCAAUCGUCCGGUUCGUCCGGGCGUAAUUUUGGUGACUCUAGAUAAUACCACAGUUUCGCACCGUCUCCGUGCUGGCGACGCAUCUUUCGAAUGCCUGACUCUUCAACUUUCGAUGGUAGAUUCACUGCCUACCAUGGUUGUUACGGGUAACGGGGAAUCUGGGUUCGAUUCCGGAGAGGGAGCCUGAGAAACGGCUACCACAUCCAAGGAAGGCAGCAGGCACGCAAAUUACCCAUUUCCAGAACGGAGAGGUAGUGACAAAAAAUAACGAUACGGGACUCUAUUGAGGCCCCGUAAUCGGAAUGAGUACACUUUAAAUCCUUUAACAAGGAUCCAUUGGAGGGCAAGUCUGGUGCCAGCAGCCGCGGUAAUUCCAGCUCCAAUAGCGUAUAUUAAAUUUGUUGCAGUUAAAAAGCUCGUAGUUGGUUUUGCGUGCCACGCUGUCGGUUCGCCGCCUGCCGGUGCAACUGGCACGCCGUGGCAUGUCCUGUCGGUGGUGAUUGGGUGCCUGGUACCCGGUCCGAGGCCCAGCCGAAGCCGGUGCCGUGUGUAAACUCUCACCGAUUUAACCCUGCCCGGUGCUCUUAAACGAGUGUCGAGGUAGGCCGACAAAUUUACUUUGAACAAAUUAGAGUGCUUCAAGCAGGCAAAAAUCUAGCCUGAAUAGUGGUGCAUGGAAUAAUAAAAUAGGACCUCGGUUCUGUUUUGUUGGUUUUUUGGAACACAAGGUAAUGAUCAAUGUGGACAGGCGGGGGCAUUCGUAUUGCGGCGUUAGAGGUGAAAUUCUUGGAUCGUCGCAAGACGCUCGAGAGCGAAAGCAUUUGCCAAGUAUGUCUUAAUUGAUCAAGAACGAAAGUUAGAGGUUCGAAGGCGAUCAGAUACCGCCCUAGUUCUAACCAUAAACGAUGCCAGCCAGCGAUCCGACGUGUUCCUAUUACGACACGUGCGGGCAGCUUCUACCCCGGGAAACCAAAGCUCUUGGGUUCCGGGGGAAGUAUGGUUGCAAAGCUGAAACUUAAAGGAAUUGACGGAAGGGCACCACCAGGAGUGGAGCCUGCGGCUUAAUUUGACUCAACACGGGAAACCUCACCAGGUCAGGACAUUGAAAGGAUUGACAGAUUGACAGCUCUUUCUUGAUUACAGUGGGUAGUGGUGCAUGGCCGUUC